GUGCGAUUGUAAACUUGUUUUGCUGUUUAUUCAUUUAUUUUGCGAUCGUUGUUUGUCUUUUGUCGUUUUCCAUUUAUUGCCGUAGCAUUGUCUGUUCAUUUUUGGCAGUCAUGUGCGUUUGACUUUAAAUAAUCCUUUUGAUAUCCUUACUUUUUAUUUUAUAAUAUCUGUUUUAUAACAUUUUCGUUCAUAACUGGUUUUAAAAACC
rnacentral:lncRNA from 1 species